rnacentral:lncRNA from 1 species
UAAUUCCUUUCCUUCCACCUGAGAUGAAGAUAUGCUGCUUUGAAUUUCUUCAGCCAUUUUUGUGACUUUCAUAAGCAGCAGCAUGUGUGAGCGCUCCUCCACCUUUCUCACCUUGCUUCCCCCGCUCUCCCUGGAGGCCUUGCUUCUGCAGUCCUGGCUUUGCCUUUUUCUUUUAUUGUAGUCCCAGAUCAGGAGGCUGCUCCUGUGACUGAGCUGACUCUCACUGCACUGUAAUGUAGCAGAAGAGCAGGGUGUAUUCUGUGCCAUCCCCUCAGUGCACACUACAGUGACUUGUACUUCUAGGCUCUCUGUAUGCUUGUCUAAAUGUGUGAGCACCUCUUUAUCUUCCUGUCAUUGCUUUUGAUACAGUGAAUAUUCCAGAACAUUUUUUUUUCCAUCUUGCCAGUAUCCCUUUGUAGGGAGGAAAGUAGGAUCUUUUCCUUACCCAGCACAGGGUUCAUGAUGGAGGUCCUAGUAGCAAAAGACAGAUUAAUGAGAGAAAAGUGGAUGAAAUUAUUUAAUAUAAAAUUUAUGGAAGCUUAGCUUCCAUUUGUUGGGAAGAGUGGUGGGCAUGCUGGGUCAUGAUGGUGUGGUUGGUGCACUGCUCUUGAACUCUAUGCUCCACUGCUUCUGGAUCCUGCCUAUAGAGAGAGGGAGUCUCAGCCCCUUAAAAAGGGUGCUAAUUUGGGAUUAAAUUAAGUUGAAUUGGAACCUGAGCACUUACCCCUGGGUAAGUCUCAUGUGCUCACUCUGCUCACGUCUGGAACUACUGCCAUGGGUUAGUCUUUCUCCUUUAUGUCCAGAUCAGAGUGUGCAUAUAAUGUGUGUGAUAUUAGCUAUUCUCUUCUAUUUUGUUUGCUGACGAUGUUUUGCUUUAUCUCUGCUGUUGUAAUUUAAGACAACUAGGGGAAUGGUGAUGUGUAUUUAGAGAUUAUCCUUUCAUCUCUAGCAGUAAGCUUUGAAAAUGUUGUUCCUACUUUAGUGGACUGAUGUUUGCUGUCAGUUAUCAGUAUCUGAACGUUAUUUGUUCUAUUUUGCCUAAGUAAAGGUAGGUCUCGAGAUUAGAUAAUAUUUAUUAAAAUGUAUGUAUUACUUUCUGUUUUGUUAAAAUUACUUUUUUUUUUAAAAAAUAAGUGCUAUUAGUCACAUUUUUGUAACUGAAUUAUCAAGGAAAAUUUGGGAAAAGGAAAUUGGAUAUAUUGCUUUAUUUGUAAACAUAGCUUAAAUUGGCAAGGUUUAUAGUAUAAUUUUUAUAUGUGCUUCUGCAUUAAUUAUAUAUUAUUCUAUUAAAAAAAAAAAACAACCAAAAACCUCCCCAGUGAGCAGUACCUUACCUGGGCAGCAUAGUAGAACUAGCUAGGUAGUUGGGACACAGGUGAGCUGUCCCUCGGGGUAUGAUCUUGGGAGAGCUAGCCCUGCCCCUAGCUCUGCAGCAUGUGAGAGCUGGCCUGGAGGGCAUGAGAGCUUGAGAGCAAGUGAGCUGGCCCUGUCCCCUUGCCAGUUGCAGAACUCAAGAAAGUGGGCCUUGCCCCUUGCUUCGGCAGUACUGGAGAGCUGUAAACUGACCAACUUAGCUACCACCCAGGCCCCGAUCCAGGGCUUUGAGUUAGCCUACCCCAAUAUCUACUUUGUCUAUGAACUGUUGGAACACACGAAGGGGCCAGUAUUGCAGAUCCUAAGCUGCAGGAUCUCCAUGACACAGGGCAACAGCAAGAUAUCUGAGAGGAGUCCCAGUAAGGAUCCAGUAUUGAAAGUAUAGCAGAAGCCAGAGACCUCAAACUAGACCAAUGCCUCAUUGCAACAAACAUUUGCAUGAAAAGCUCUUUGGGCAAAAGGGUAUACUGUGUGACAUACCAUAGCACACCUCAGCUUCCAUAGUGAGAUUUUUUUUCCCCCUUUUCUGUGGGAGGUUUGGGGAAAUGAGAGGGAUAGUGAGGCAUGCUGGAAAAUUUACAAAUAAUCAGUAAAAAGUU